rnacentral:rRNA from 1 species
UACAGAGGGGGCAAGCGUUAUUCGGAAUUAUUGGGCGUAAAGGGCGCGUAGGCGGCUUGGCAAGUGGAUGGUGAAAUCCCUCGGCUUAACCGAGGAACUGCCAUCCAGACUGCUUUGCUUGAGGCCGGGAGAGGUGAGUGGAAUUCCCAGUGUAGCGGUGAAAUUCGUAGAUAUCUGGAGGAACACCGGUGCGAGGACGGCGAUCCUGGACCAACACUGACGCUGAGUGAGCGAAAGCCAGGGGAGCAAACGGG